rnacentral:rRNA from 1 species
UACGGAGGGUGCAAGCGUUGUCCGGAAUCAUUGGGUGUAAAGGGUGCGUAGGCUGGCUCUUAAGUCUGAGGUGAAAUCUUGCCGCUUAACGGUAAAAUGGCCUUGGAUACUGGGAGUCUUGAAUCUGACAGAGGUCGGUGGAAUUCGUAGUGUAGCGGUGAAAUGCAUAGAUAUUACGAAGAACACCAGUGGCGAAGGCGGCCGGCUGGGUCAGUAUUGACGCUGAGGCACGAGAGCGUGGGGAGCGAACAGG